GCCAGGCGCAGUGGCGCACACCUGUGAUCCUAGCGGCUUGGGAGGCAGAGACAGGAGGAUUGUGAAUUCAAAGUUAGCCUCAGCAACUUAGUGAGGACCUAAGCAACUCAGCAAUAACCUGUCUCUA
rnacentral:sRNA from 1 species